rnacentral:lncRNA from 1 species
AUGCUGAAAUUAUUAAAUCUUUUUUUAAUAGUAAAUUUUUGAAUUGUUACGUUUCUAAUAUCCGCUGUUGUGUUGCAGAUAAUGGGGAUAAUUUAUUUAGGAAAAAAAGUCAUAAAAUAAAGCAUUUAUGAGUAUGUGCAUUAUAGAUAGAUAAAAAAGAAAAAAAAAGUGGCAUCCAUGCGUCUGGUCGUGCCUAUUGUGUAGAGUUUCUUCGAAAACUCAAAAAGGUCAGCAGUUGCUCGGCAGUGGGGUCAAACGCCGCCUUCAGUGGCACCCCUUCCACGUACCCUCCCGAGACAAUCUUCUCUAUAAGGAUACAAAUUCGUGUGCCAUUAUUCCUCUGUGUUUAUACCACGGUGGUUUUACAUCGCACGCUUCACUGACGGCGUUUAAUAGCCAAGUUAAUUAAAGAGAAUACUUGCCUGACUGCUAUGUUAGUUGACAUCUCAGAUGAAUGACAAAAACCAGAAGUUAAGGGAAAAACAAUGGGAUGCAAAGGAAACAAACUCACUAGGGUCGGUGACUGGACACCUUGAUUGCGUGCUGAGAACGGUAUGGGAAAUGUCGCGUGCAUCUUCUUGGUCCCAUCAUAACAAUGACCCGUUCCCAUAGUCUCAUUUAACAUUGUUUUCGAACGAUUGGAUCAUUUCGUAAGAAUUCUUAGUUGUGCGGACUUCUGAGUUCGGAUGGAGUGGUUUCUGUACUUAAUUAACAAGAGGACAAUUAUCUGUUGUAUAUUCGGGUGAAUGGACAGCAGUUUUAUGGUGGCGAAGUCAAGAGGUAACGCCCCCUGAUUAGUCCCCUUUUGUUUUCAUGGAGUUGUCGCUUGAAGGAACUCUGGGGUCAUAUUUUCCUUAGACGUGGAGAUGGCGAGGUAUGUAAAUCUAAACCCAAAAACUAUUUUCAAACAAAUGUUUGAAAUUAUCGCUUUUUAGUAUAUACAAGGAUUUCUUUUUUAUUAUUUUUUAAACUCGUCCACAACUAGUCGGGAAUUUAUCUCUUAUGUUUGGUGAAUUUUAUGUUCGAGAUUUUUUUACUGCUAUUCUAUCUCGGUGAAGUUUGAUGUUAAAGCUUUGGAGUAUGGCUGUAAUGAGGGAUAAGGACAACUUUUACUGCCCAUGAUAUGUGGAAUCUUGAUGAGUAUACCUCCCCUUGCGAUGAAAAGUCUGUUUUACUGUACGACUUAGUGACCACACCUAACUGUUUUUGGCUAGGGGCGAGAUGCGUUUUAUUCGAUGGACGCAACCGAUGCAAAGUAAGUAAUUUUAGAUAUAUAUAUAUAUAUAUGUAUAUAUACUAUAUAUAUAUUUUCUUCUAUCGGUCGAUUUUUAGUGCUGAAGGUGGGUAUACAAACGGUAAUAUUUGUCUAGAUUAAUGAUCUCAUCUUGGCAUCUGACUCUUUAACUAUUUGGCACGAAUCGACUCUAAAAUUCUUGAUAUGGCGUAGUUAGAUUUUUAUUAUCUGUUGCUUUAUAUACUAUAGAAAAUUAAAUAAGUCUGUAAUUUAAUAGUGGCGAUGAUGAGCGAGAUAGCGGAUCACACUAUAUCCGAACGCAUCCCGUCCACGCGUAUCCAUGCACUGUCUGCCAGGCGUACUAAAACACUUCAUGCUUUGUCACAAUCGUUUCUUCACAGAACGAAGUCAAGGAGAAAAAUACUUCAAAUGUAAAGAAAAAAACCGUUAUGAUGCUAUCUAAGUCCGAGAUAUUAACACCUUCCUGGCACAUCAUUCAUUGCAGCCACACCGAGACCAUCCGAGUUUUAAAUGCGUAACAGCAAAGCCCGUAUAAGCGGUCAUGAGGCAGCAAUGCGAGAUUUUUUUCCAAAAUUUGGAUACUUUUUUAAGGUGAUAUUAGCUUCGGAGCGAAAAUUGAGAUAUCAUUAUCCUCUCCCCUGAUGAAAAUUAUGUCCAGAAAGGGGCGGGAAAAUUACUACCUAAGAUGGCGACUUCCCCAUUCUUUUGCAGAAAAGAGAUUUAAAAAAAGUAAAAUAAAAAUAUACUAAAGUAGUAUGUUUGGAAAAUUAAAAUAUAGUGUUAAAAUAAGAUAAAAAAAACAUUUCACACUCCGACUUUCGAUAAAAUUUGUAUGUUUUUAGUCAUCAGUCGAGAUUGUAGACACAAGUUUAUUUGAUUGCCAUUUUAUACAAUCUUUAUGACAGCAAAGAUAUAAAAUCGGUUACAGAAAAUGUUAUGCUGACCUUCUGGGUUGAUAUCCCUGGGGCUAAAACGACAAAGGGAUGUUUUGGGAAAAGCUGAAGUGGAAUGUAGAACCUGUAAUUUUUCCUUCUCAUUCUACAGAGACAUCCUGGAUGAGAAGGGCAGGAGGGGUACAUUCAAAGAAAAAAAAAAAAAUAUAUAUAUAUGUAUCUCAUAGCUGAACAUUUAUUAAACGCUCGGAACUGAAUCGGAAACUAUUUUAAUAAUACUUCCAGACAAAAACAGAUUUGGGUGCUUGCUUCUACAUUUUUUUAAUCUUUUGUUCACUGCACUUAAUGCAGUCUUUCCCUCUUCCUAAUAAACUUUUUAAUGGAUCGUUCGCAUUUUUUCAUUAUUAUUUUUUUCACUAUUAUAUAUUUUUCUCUAUAAAGGUCGAAAAA